AUAAUAUGUAUUACUAAAGAUGCAGUAUUCUAGUUAAUAUAUUUAUUUCUGAAGGCGGGGCUAAAAAUCCGUUUAAGGGCAUAUCGAUGAAACCUCUGGUUUUGGCUUGUGACGCCCAGUCAUGGGCUAUUGCUGGGGGAUAGGGGGAAAGGGCGAUCCACAAUGGCAUGUGGGCGUUGACCCUUUUUCUGUGGAGGCUUACUUUUAAAAUGUGAAUGCAUUUUAUGUAAGAUUAAACCUGUUGUGCGGUCAAAGUAGGCUGCGAACAGUGUAGCCUUCCUUGCGUAAAGAAAGGGAGGAAUGCUUAAGGGCAUGAAACCUUUCUUGCAAAAGAGGAUAGGGAAUAAAUAUAUUUUUGGGGAAAGCCCCUAGACUGUUGUACGCAAGCAUGUUAAGGAUUACAGUAUGACUUUAAGGUGAUCUAGCUCCAUUUAUGGCGACAUAGUGGGAAUUUGAUUAAAGGGAAACCUCUAGUUUGGCGACAAAUUAGUACGAAUUCGGGAAAACCUGCUGGACCAUAUGCCAUAAAAUUUACUUAACAUGCUGUCUUUAGUUAUUUUUUAUUA
rnacentral:sRNA from 1 species